CCCGCUAGCUGACUCCGCCCUGCCUCGUUUUUUCCUUCCCCGUUGUCCCAACCGCCUCCCCGCCGAAGGAGGUUCCCACAGUCCAGUCACCUGGGUGUUUUCUCCCUCCCGAAAGGCCUGUGCUACCCGCUGCCGAAGAAAUGGAAACUGAGACACAGAGAAUAAGGAUUUACCAAGAUUACCUAUUGGAAAUGAUUGGCUGCAACACCCAUGCAUUGCCAUAAAAAGUGGGUCUGGACCUGUAUCAAAGCUGUUGGUCAUACGCUGCCCCAUGUAAAGGUGACUGCUAGCUUAGCUGGAGGUGACUCUUUCCAAUAGUGUGGAUUUUGGAAAGUUGAUGGUUUAGCCAUGAGAAUCCAGAAAUUGUAUAAGGUUCAAAUGAAAGGACUACUGACUUCUCAGGCAAAAAUUGAGAACCUGGGGUGUUGGUUUGCCAGUGUUGUGUCUGGGAUUGUCCUUGCCCACUCCGAACCUGGGUACAAAGCUGGUGAGAUGAUGCGUCGUCCCCGUGCUGCCGGGUCCCCAUCUUCAGGUCCAAGACACAAGGAUGCUUAUACUGUGACACAACGUUUUCCAGCAAGAGGAACCCUGGUCGCUCUAAGUUAAGGAAGAGUCUGAGAACAUUAGGCUGCAGCCUCACUGGAGGCGGGCAGCACCCCUCUGAAGCUGCCUGGAGAUUCCCUGCCCUGAGUGCUGUUCUUGCAUUCCAGACAAGCCCACCACCACUAGUAAGGAUUCCAGCUUUGCAGCUGCUUUAUUAAGUCCUUUUAUCCAGAGGGAGUUUACGAGCGUGCAACCUCUUUUUCCUUUUUGCUCUGACAUUGAAAUGUGUUAUUUUUUAAUUUUUAAUUGUUUUUUAAUUACAGUUGUCUCCAUUUUCCCCCCAUUACUCUCCCCUGCCCUGCCCACCCCCUACCUCCCACAUUCAGUCUCCCCCAACCCCCAUGAGGCUGAAAUUUAAAUGCAGGUCUGAAAUCCCUGGCAGGCCCUGCUCAGUUUACAUUUUAUAGCAGAAAAUCAUAAGGCUAAAAUCUCUAGUCAUUAAAUGGGCCUAUACCUUUUGGGAGGAGUGGGUUGAUGUUAGCUUUGGAGAUGAGUUGCAGGAAUAUUAAUUUCAGUGGAGUAAUUAUCCUGCAAAAACUUCUUAGGGAUUAGGAUUGCAGAUGUGGCUUGUAAAUACUGUGAGACCAGCCGCCCUUUGCAGGAAGGAGCCAGUGGUGAUGAAGGGACAUUUCAAGCCUGAAUUUGCUCCCUGAGAACAUGGCAGCCUAGGGGGGAAGGGGACUGCCUCCCCUGGGGUCCGCCAGCAGGCACUUCCCUCAGGGAGGAGCCACACCCCUUCCUCCCCAUCAGCCCUGAAGGAAGAUCCCUAUGGGGCGAAUUUGGAGGGAUAGGGUGGCAGUCAGUAUUCCUAUCCAUCCACAGAGGCCCAGCCCCUGUGGCAGAGAGAUAGCAGUGGCCCAUAAGGGGCACCGUGUUCAGUUUCAUUCCCAGUCUGGCUCUCCCAUAAUCUCUGAGUUCUCUUUUGGAGAGAACUGAUUUCUUCUAUGUCCCAAGUUUGAGGGCUCCUGCCUCCAACUCUCCUUUACUCCCCCCUCACUUGACCCUCCCACUCCCAUCCCUGCCCCCCUGCUCCCGCUGCUGACCCUGAGGGGACACUGCUGACCCUCGGUGAACCCCCCUGCCCUUGGGACCACGUGGCAGAGAAGCUGACAAGGAUACGGUAUGGCUUGUUCUCUGGGUACUCAGUGCAGAGCCGGGUCAGGUGGGCCUGGUGGCAGUGCAGACCCCAUGGGUUAAAGCUCCUCCUCUCAUCCUGGUUCUCUUUAGCAUCUUCCACCAGGGAGGAUACAUGGGUGCUGAGGUGGAACUCGGACCUCAGGUACUCCGUGGCCGGGCUGUAGGUGAGGGAAGCACAAGACAGUCAGGGCAGCCAGUCCCCAGGUCAGAGACAAGGGACCCUUUUCUGUGACUGACUGUGUUCUCCUGAGCUGCACUUUGACACAGACUGUCCCUGGCUACUCUCUGGGACACUGCAAGGCCUCAGAAUGCUCUUCCUGCCCAUCAGUCCCCAGCACCAGGUCUGGCUACAGUGCAGCCCCCUUGCAGGGAUUCUACAGUCACAUUAACUCAUUAGAACGUGUCACCCCCUUGGAGGACUAAGGUGGUUUAAAGUCAGUUGUCAGUGAUCUGGAUUAUUAUCCCACUAUUGAGGCCCUACACUAUGGGUGCAACAACCCCACAGGAAAUCAGAAGUUGGGGGUUAGUCCAUUACCCCCGAGACCCCAAAGUACCAUAGGGAGUGGGAAUCGUGCAUCCUUGGUGCCUCUGUCUCCUGUCCUCUGCGUCUCAGCUUCCCUAGCUGUGAAGUGGAGAUAAUGGGCACCCAAUUCCUGAUGUUGAGCCAGGAGACUUAAUUAGAUCUGUGCUCCUUGGGGAAGGGAGGUACUUUCAUUGCAUUAGCUCCCUUUUGUUUUUCCAUAAAUGUUAAAAAAUCCUCAGGGAUCCUUCUCGUCUGAGAAAGGUCAGCUGAUGUUAUCAGAGGUUUUUGGAGAGCUCUCCAGGGACCUUGGUGUCCCGAACUGCCUGUGCCUCCGAGGCCCCACUGAGUGUUGUGUUGGCUUCUCAUCCCUUCUUGACUGCUAAGGAAAGAUGACUUCUGAGAGACAUUAGCCACACUCUUCCUUCAUGUCAACCACUCUGGGGUUUCUGCUCUGCACAUUUCCCCCCAGAGACUUCAUGGUCUCAGUGAAACAGGUAUUUAAUAAACAAAUAUGCGCCGAAUGCCUGCUCUGUACAGGACUCUGCCAUAUUCAUCUGCAUCUGAAAUGAAGGCAUUGCGUCCUUCCCUCCGGAGAGGCAUGAAGAAGAUGUAUUCCUGUCUCUCCUCACAUUAGUUAUUCUAGACAGAACCUUCAUCUGAAUUUCUCAUUUUCUGUGCUCUGGCCUUCAUGGGGAGCCGUGGGCCUUGGUCCCACUGGGAGUAGUACUGGUCCCUGCUAGGGAUGAGCUCCAGCUUCUGUCAUACUGCCAAGUGGCCCUCACCUCUCCUUCAGCGAAUGUGCCAGCUGGGCGUGCUGCCACUGUGAGAGGGGACCUGCACCGCCACCGCUGCUCGUGGUCUGCUGGAGUUUCUGCCACAUCGCCACCGCUGCUGACCCUGAGGGGACGUUUAAGGGCCCCUGGUUCUCCUUCAGUGGGUUGGCAACCAAGCUGAGAUGGCCUAGGCUGUCUUUCCGGAGGUGAACUGUGAUGGUACCUGCAGAGUACAUGAGGGAGGUCAGGAGGUGGAGAAACCAGGUGGAAUUUACCUGAAUGGACACGUCGCAAUGGGUGAUACCUAUUUGAAGUAUAGUUUAAUGGCAAUGGUCAACCUUUCCUUUUUCCCAACUCCUCUCUCAAGGAAGCUGUAGGGACUGUCCUGAUUUAGCCUGAACCCAACCUGUUCCAGAAUGAGCCCAAGGCUGUGGAGCCUGCAGAAAAUAGCUUUGGGCUGAUCUUGGCACAGCCUCUGCGUUGUGGCACUUCUCUGCCCCUUCAUGCUUUAACAAAGCCCACCUGUGCUUGUAUUCCAGUUCCUUUGUGCACAGUCACGCCUUCCCAGUCACACCACAGCUGCCCCAACUGGGCCCAAGCUUGGGGCAUCAGAACUGGUUUGCAAAGAAGGGUUCCCUCCCAGAGUAGCAGUUAUGGAAGUGGGGGCCCACACAUUCCUCCCAUUGUCUGUCUCCGUCAUCAUGCUUUCUCUCUCCUGCAUUUGUCUCUAUCUGACCAGCUGCUCCCAGGAAGCCUCCUCAGACAGCCUGCAGGGACUCAGGACUCCCAUCAUGCCUUCCUCUGCCCUCCCCAUCCCUGCCCUCUGGCUUUGAUAGUGGUGCUCGGUGUCCGCUUUGGUUAGACACACACACAGCACAUGAAGACUGUUGGUGGAACGUGGCUCUGUGACAUAAAAAGACAACUUGUGAGAUUUCCUCAGCUUCCAGGACCUCCUUCUCCACAGUAAAAGGGAAGAGUGCAAGGACACCCCAUGAACACGUGCUACUUGGGCUCCUCCUCCAAGACAGUUGCCAGACCUGGUAUCAGUCCUGGCACGUAUGUUCACUGCUCUGUGGCUGCUUCCUUUGUAUUCUUCCUUCAGGGUGCAUGAGGAAGGCAGAGUCCAGGUCUUCCUCUCUGGCCUGGGCGGCCAGCGGGCACCCUGUCUCCCCAGAGUCCUGGCGAAGAGGAAACAAUCUUCCUGGCAGUGGCACAGGAGACCGUCUCACAGAUGUUCUGAGAGAACCAGGUUUCCGAGUGCUUGUGGCUUCCCUCUCACCCGGGCCCUGCACCCUGUGAAGUAACAAUGAUACAUCUAUAAUGCCGUUCCUGGACCUGACAUUUGCGGUUCAUCUGAAGACCAGUGUGCAUCCCUAGAGCUAGCCCAUCGCAGCAGCCUGCUCAUGAGAGCAGGGUUGGUGGCAGGCCAGGGAGGUGACUGCACAGUGAUUGUCACUACCAUGACCUCCACGCCUACUGUGCGCCAGCGCCUUGUGCUUAUCAUUUGUUGUCACUGUGCUGUAGCAGCCCGACUCUGGCCACUGGGGUUCAAAGAGAAUGGAUACCUUGCCCCGGGUCACACAGGUGUAGCACUCUGAGAAGGCCACACCAGACUGAGAUGUGGAAGAAGGAACCAGCUGCGACAUGGAGCUGAGGACUUCAUAGGGAGACUGGGUUGUCACGCUGUGUUUACCCACCUGUGGAUGAGAACACCCUUGCCGUGUCCUCAGUUGUGUUUGUUUUGGUCAUUCUGUCCUGUGAAGCAGAGAAGCUGUGACCCCACCAUCCUGUGGGGGCCAUCGGUGCAGGUGCUGGGAGCCCAGGAAGCCCACAGACGUGGGGUUUAUUGCCAGCCCUGUUUCCUGGGGGGUGGGGGUAGGGUCACUGUGCUUGUUCUAGGGAGGGGCACUGACCCGGAAACCACCUCGGGGCUCCAGGCCCACCCUCCCUGUGUGAGAAGGGAAGACCUCACGGCAUCUGUGAUUGUCCUUGGGCUGCUCAGGACCCCCUGGCUUCCUGGGCCCUUCCGCAUCUUGUAAUGUCCGAGUUACCGUCCGACGGCCCCUGGCCUUUCCCAUUCCUGAUGCUGUGGUGAUGGCCAUACCAGAAACCAUGCUCUCAGGGAGCCUGCGUCUGAGAGGCAAGAAAUGUGACCUUCACCCACUUUUCUAGGCUCCAGCUUUUGUCUGCUCUCUUCCAUUUUGAGUGUCUAAAUAAAUGGAGGUGAGUGGAGGUGCAAAAAACCCCGAGCCAAUAAAACCCAAAAGUCAUUUCUUUUUCUCAUAUGUCAGAGCUACACAGCCAGGCUCCAUGUCCCUGCUUUCUUGCUCCAUCUUCCUGCACAUCUCUGACUGGCUCUGUCUCCAUUUAUCUGUCUCUUCUCCCUCCCGCACACCCCUCUGUGGUUCAGCCCAGCCCUCAGGAAGCCUGGGAUCCAGUACACACAGGGCCUUGCAAAGUCUCAAGCAGCCCGCCCAUGACAAGAGCAGCACAUCAGUGGAAUCUAGACUGCUAGGGACUUGGAGUGUUCUUUUUGCCAAGUGCCGUCACCUGGCCUCCAGCUCACUGUAUGUGCCCGUGGGGUUCCCAGAACUCCGCUGCCCCUGCCUGUAGAGUGGGAGCCCCGGCUGCCUGCUUGCCAGCCCUCCUCAGGCAUGUCGACCUGCCACCGUGUCGGGGCGAGCGCUUACUGCCACAAUUGACACUCAGAGCAUCUCAGCAAUUUUAGCUUGGCCGAGCAGCUUCCUCAGCCUCUGAAUAUUCUGUUAAGUGUUUAUUUUUAAGCUCAUGGGAGUGUUUAUCUGUUGCUGUUUAUAUGAAUCUGGCUCCUCCAU